rnacentral:rRNA from 1 species
GAACGAGAAAGUGGAGCAAUCCAUGAGUAAAGUGGCGCACGGGUGAGUAACACGUGACUAACCUACCUUUGAGUGGGGGAUAACCUAGGGAAACCUGGGCUAAUACCGCAUAAUACCUACGGGUCAAAGCGAGCAAUCGCGCUUUAAGAGGGGGUCGCGGCAGAUUAGCUAGUUGGUGAGGUAAUGGCUCACCAAGGCGAUGAUCUGUAUCCGGCCUGAGAGGGCGCACGGACACACUGGAACUGAAACACGGUCCAGACUCCUACGGGAGGCAGCAGUGGGGAAUUUUGCGCAAUGGGGGAAACCCUGACGCAGCAACGCCGCGUGGAGGAUGAAAUCCCUUGGGAUGUAAACUCCUUUCGAUCGGGACGAUAAUGACGGUACCGAUAGAAGAAGCCCCGGCUAACUUCGUGCCAGCAGCCGCGGUAAUACGAGGGGGGCAAGCGUUGUUCGGAAUUAUUGGGCGUAAAGGGUGCGUAGGCGGUUUGACAAGUUCUAUGUGAAAUCUAUGGGCUCAACCCAUAGUCUGCAUGGAAAACUGUCAGGCUUGAGGAUGGGAGAGGUGAGUGGAAUUUCUGGGGGAGC